AUUUACACCUACAUACAGUGUUUUUUGUUAUGAUGUCACACAUCAUAACAAAAUAACUGCAUGUAAAAGGAGUGAGGCAGGCUUUCUUCAUCCUUUGUCCCUCCUCCUUUCACGAGUUCUGUUUUAAAUAGAGAGCAAGCUUAGUUGGGAGAAGAGUAUCUACUUCUUGAACGCACCUGUGACAUCCAUUAGUCAGACUGUGACAACCACUUGUUCAAGGAGAACAGCAACAUAUUUUCUUACUUCGUGUUCUUCUGAGAUCCAAAAUUACAGCAAUGGACAAUCGAAGCAGAGUUGUGUUCGCAGUCGUCAUGGUAAUGGCGUGCAUGGGAAUGAGAGCUGAGGCACAGAUCUCCACAACAGCUCCAAAUACAACAAAUACAACUCUUUCACUAAACAUCUCAAGGGCAAAUUGUGGAAACAAACAGUUCUGUGCUGCUCAGCCAGCAGGCUGUGACCCAUCUGUGUCUGGAUCCUGUUUCUUCGUCUCAACCAGUCAAAUCUCCGGACAGAACAUUUCCUUCCAGCUUCAAGGACAAUCCAGUGGCUACGUCGCUGUAGGGUUGUCCAGAACCAUUAACACGGGACAAAAUGACUCUGUCUAUGUGUGUGCUAAAAACAACGACAACAUCACUGUCAAUUUCUCUUCCAAUCUUUACAACAACGGAACUCUGACUCUGAACAACAUGCUGCCCUCUAACCUGCUGAAGGGCUCAAUCAGUAAUCUGACCAUCCAGUGCAUCUUCUCUGCUACAGUCCCCGAUGCUACUUCCCCCAGGAGCAGCAGUACCUCCUUUUUCAUUUCCAUCUACAACGGGACCGUGUCUAAUGGACUCCUAGGUAGUCCUAAGGCUAUCUUUACAAGCACUGAAGCCGUGGACCUGUCCAACAGCAAUGCGACCAACAGCAACAGUUCUACAACAGCCUCACCAACCACCACAGCUAACCACGCUUUUGGUCUACAACGCACCCUGUCUCAAGCUCUGCUGAUCCUGCUUGGUGGACUAGUUUUCAUCAUGCUGUAAUGUGGAUCUCAGUAGUAAACCACUUCACAUUCCGGAAUUCUGGACCUCUAUGGUUACUGAAGCCAACCAGUCUGGGUUCCCAAGAAUGAAACUAUUUUGAGCAGGGGUAGUAAAGGGUAGUAAGACAUUAGCCUACAGAAUUAAUCCAGUAAUAUAAGUUUAAUGUUGUGUUUACAGUCAAGGCCUUUUCAGGUACAUUAAGCAUUGUUCAACCUCAUUACCUCCAGGAUUACCCCAACAUCAACACGUGUUAAAUUUUGUGACCACAAAACAUAAAAGCCUAGAUUAUAUUGAUGUUGUAUUGAGAAAAUGAAAAUGAGGUAUACACCUAAAACAUCCACCAUGUGUAAUUAUUUGUUUGAGCCCAGUCAUCUUUUACUUCAUCUUACCUGAUGUCAAGUUAUGAAGGAGGACAAUUUUGUCAGAGUGUGUGUGUGUGUGUGUGCAUGGAGUGUAAAUAUUUGCUACAUAUUUGUGUCUAAUGAUGCCACAAGUUGGCAGAAACUGAUACUUGUGUGUUUGUUCUUCAUGAUUUCCCUUCAUGAUUGAAGUUUGAAAUGUAUUUAAUAAGCCUCCUUAGUCUGGAUCCGCGGAUGGAGCCCUCUGUGCACAUUUGCAUAAUAUAAAAAAUACUAUAAUCACUAGAAUCAUGUUUUUUUUAUAGAUAAUAUCUAGGCAUAUUCGUGAAGCCAUCCCUACACAGUAUGAGUUCCUAUGGGGAUCACAUCCUGUAUGAGGUGAAUGUAAGUUCUCACCAAACCUGACCACUGCUGACUAAGCGCGUAUGUAUACAUUUCCAUAAAAGUUAUUAAUAAAAUCAUACGCCUGACUUUUGCAAAUAUCUAGGUAUUCUCAGUCCCGUACAUAGUUUGUGUCCCUAUGGGAAUAACAGCCCAUAGGGACACAAUUGGGCUGUUAUAAAUUGGAACCAAUUGGUCACCCCUGACAGAGCACAGUGUACAUUUCCAUAAAUAUCCAGAAAAGAAAUUACUAGAAUCAUACGGCUGACUUUUGCAAAUAUCUAGGCAUUCUAACAAAGAGAUUGUUACGCAGUUUGUGUUCCUAUGGCCAUUACAGCCAGUUAGAUUUGGACCAAAUCUGUCACCAUUACGCCUUGGAUAAUCCAAGUCUUCCUUUGUUUAGUUAUUGAUUCCAUGAUGCCCAAUCAAAAACAGCGCUUCGACUAUGUUUAUCACGACUGGAGACAUGACGACGCAGGAAUAAUGGGAUGUCAUAGGGGUCAGUCCCAUAGUGACAGUACACAACAUGGGGCAUGCCACAGGUCACCGGUCAAUAAUGGCGAUUACCAACGUAGUUUUCAUACAGUUUAUGCAAGAUAGCUCUUUGAUUUCAACCCAAAACAUUUUAGAACAUAUUUGAACAUAGCCAAGAAGCCGAGGAAGGUUAUUCUGUCCAGCAACACUUUUUACCAGGCGACACGAAUGACCAUUCAACUCAG
ensembl:lncRNA